rnacentral:rRNA from 1 species
CUAAAUAGCCNGGCCGCUUUGCGGGUCGCCGGCUUCUUAGAGGGACUAUCGGAUUUCAAGUCGAUGGAAGUUUGAGGCAAUAACAGGUCUGUGAUGCCCUUAGAUGUUCUGGGCCGCACGCGCGCUACACUGACAGAGCCAACGAGUACAACACCUUGGCCGGAAGGUCUGGGUAAUCUUGUUAAACUCUGUCGUGCUGGGGAUAGAGCAUUGCAAUG